UACGUGGGGGGCAAGCGUUGUUCGGAAUUACUGGGCGUAAAGGGCUCGUAGGCGGCCAACUAAGUCGGACGUGAAAUCCCUCAGCUUAACUGGGGAACUGCGUCCGAUACUGGAUGGCUUGGAUUUGGGAGAGGGAUGCGGAAUUCCAGGUGUAGCGGUGAAAUGCGUAGAUAUCUGGAGGAACACCGGUGGCGAAGGCGGCAUCCUGGACCAACAUUGACGCUGAGGAGCGAAAGCUAGGGGAGCAAACGGG
rnacentral:rRNA from 1 species